rnacentral:rRNA from 1 species
UACGUAGGUGGCAAGCGUUAUCCGGAAUUAUUGGGCGUAAAGCGCGCGCAGGUGGUUUCUUAAGUCUGAUGUGAAAGCCCCCGGCUCAACUGGGGAGGGUCAUUCGAUACUGUUCGACUCGAAGGCAGGAGAGGGAAGUGGAAUUCCCGGUGUAGUGGUGAAAUGCGUAGAUAUCGGGAGGAACACCAGUGGCGAAGGCGACUUCCUGGCCUGUUCUUGACGCUGAGGCGCGAAAGCUAGGGGAGCAAACGGG